UGGCUGUUUUUAUAUGGCAUGUAGCUCAAUAAACAGAAGAACACAACAGAAACAUAAGCAAUUUCAAACAUUUAUUAAAUUCCUAAUAUGUCCCAAGCGCUAUGUUAGGCAGUGUAGAUACAAAGACAAAAUGAAACAAUCCCUGGCCUCAGGUGGUUUGUAUUCUAAUAGAGGAAAACAACAUGUACUCAUAUAGAUAUAUACAAAAUACAUAGGCAGGAAUAUACAGAACACCGCCCCCACACCCCAUACAUAAAAAGCAGAAAAAAAGGCAACCUUAGAGUGGAAGGCAUUUUCAGUGGGAAAGAUGAGGAAACAUCUCAUGCAGAAGUUGAUGCUCAAGUUGAGUCACAAAGGAAACCAGGGAUUCCAAGAUGCAGAGGUAAGGAGGGAGAACACAGCUAUGAAGACAGCAGAUGGAGCGCUGUGUAUAAGGAACAGCAAAUAGGCCAGCACGUAUAUUGAGUUUUCAGUGGGACAAGAUUAACAAUAGUGAUGCCAAAAAUAAAAGGGCCAUUAGAACAUUUUUCAAAUGCACAGAAGAGAAAAGGAGGAAGUUCAGAAGGAAGCGGAGACAAGCAGUACAGUUCUCAAAGACCCGGCUUAAAUGUCACCUCAUCCAAGAACCUUUUCCUGCCUCCUCAACAAGAUAUUAUCUUUCCUUCUAUAUUCUUAUAUAAAUGUGCAGGUUGGUAUAUUUGUGUAUUGCUGUCUCCUUACCCCAAAUCCCACCAUAUUGUAAGCUCCAUAACAGAAGAGAUCAUAUCUUAAUUAUAUUUAUAUCUUUUUUGAUGUCCUGCAGUUUCUUGUUCAUGGUAGGCAAUUAAAUGCCUUUAAAAAAAAUUAAUGAAUACAUAAAAUUUAUUAAGUACCUAUUAUGUUCAAGACAUUG